rnacentral:rRNA from 1 species
CCAGACUCCUACGGGAGGCAGCAGUGGGGAAUAUUGGGCAAUGGGCGCAAGCCUGGCCCAGCAACGCCGCGUGAAGGAAGAAGGCUUUCGGGUUGUAAACUUCUUUUAAGAGGGAAGAGUAGAAGACGGUACCUCUUGAAUAAGCCACGGCUAACUACGUGCCAGCAGCCGCGGUAAUACGUAGGUGGCAAGCGUUGUCCGGAUUUACUGGGUGUAAAGGGCGUGCAGCCGGAGAGACAAGUCAGAUGUGAAAUCCACGGGCUCAACCCGUGAACUGCAUUUGAAACUGUUUCCCUUGAGUGUCGGAGAGGUAAUCGGAAUUCCUUGUGUAGCGGUGAAAUGCGUAGAUAUAAGGAAGAACACCAGUGGCGAAGGCGGCCUGCUGGACGACAACUGACGGUGAGGCGCGAAAGCGUGGGGAGCAAACAGGAUUAGAUACCCCGGUA